rnacentral:rRNA from 1 species
CUACGUGCCAGCAGCCGCGGUAAUACGGAAGGUCCGGGCGUUAUCCGGAUUUAUUGGGUUUAAAGGGAGCGUAGGCCGGAGAUUAAGUGUGUUGUGAAAUGUAGACGCUCAACGUCUGACUUGCAGCGCAUACUGGUUUCCUUGAGUACGCACAACGUUGGCGGAAUUCGUCGUGUAGCGGUGAAAUGUUUAGAUAUGACGAAGAACUCCGAUUGCGAAGGCAGCUGACGGGAGCGCAACUGACGCUGAAGCUCGAAGGUGCGGGUAUCGAACAGGAUUAGAUACCCUGGUAGUCCGCACAGUAAACGAUGGAUGCCCGCUGUUGGUACCUAGUAUCAGCGGCUAAGCGAAAGCAUUAAGCAUCCCACCUGGGGAGUACGCCGGCAACGGUGAAACUCAAAGGAAUUGACGGGGGCCCGCACAAGCGGAGGAACAUGUGGUUUAAUUCGACGCAACGCGAAGAACCUUACCAGGUCUUGACAU